rnacentral:rRNA from 1 species
UACAGAGGUCUCAAGCGUUGUUCGGAUUCAUUGGGCGUAAAGGGUGCGUAGGCGGCGCGGUAAGUCGGGUGUGAAAUCUCGGGGCUUAACUCCGAAACUGCAUUCGAUACUGCCGUGCUUGAGGACUGGAGAGGAGACUGGAAUUUACGGUGUAGCGGUGAAAUGCGCAGAUAUCGGGAAGAACACCCGUGGCGAAGGCGGCUCUCUGGAACGCAACUGACGCUGAGACGCGAAAGCGUGGGGAGCAACAGG